GACGAACCGUGCGAACGUUAUUCGGAAUCACUGGGCUUAAAGGGCGCGUAGGCGGGUCCGUAAGUCAGGGGGGAAAUCCCACGGCCCAACCGUGGAAGUGCCUCUGAUACUGCGGGCCUCGAGGGGGGUAGGGGCGUGCGGAACUCAGGGUGGAGCGGUGAAAUGCGUAGAUAUCCUGAGGAACACCGGUGGCGAAAGCGGCGCGCUGGAUCCCUUCUGACGCUGAGGCGCGAAAGCCAGGGGAGCAAACGGG
rnacentral:rRNA from 1 species